GACGAACGCUGGCGGCGUGCUUAACACAUGCAAGUCGAACGGAAAGGCCCCUUCGGGGGUACUCGAGUGGCGAACGGGUGAGUAACACGUGGGUAAUCUGCCCUGCACUUCGGGAUAAGCCUGGGAAACUGGGUCUAAUACCGGAUAGGACCUCGAGGCGCAUGCCUUGUGGUGGAAAGCUUUUGCGGUGUGGGAUGGGCCCGCGGCCUAUCAGCUAGUUGGUGGGGUGACGGCCUACCAAGGCGACGACGGGUAGCCGGCCUGAGAGGGUGUCCGGCCACACUGGGACUGAGAUACGGCCCAGACUCCUACGGGAGGCAGCAGUGGGGAAUAUUGCACAAUGGGCGCAAGCCUGAUGCAGCGACGCCGCGUGGGGGAUGACGGCCUUCGGGUUGUAAACCUCUUUCAGCAGGGACGAAGCGCAAGUGACGGUACCUGCAGAAGAAGCACCGGCCAACUACG
rnacentral:rRNA from 1 species